AAUAAUCCAGGAGACGGAGCGGCAGCGGAGGUGAGUUGAUGAGAGUGAAUAGGCAGAUCCAAUGAAGUCACUGAAACCACCGACGGCCAGGCAAGGCAAGGGAGUUGGAUGUUCCGGGAGGAUGACUGUAGACAGAGUAAACGGGGUGCAUGCAUUCAACACGCUUUGGACAAAGGACUUCCACAGGGCCGGCAUCUCCAAAGUUCACUCAAAAAGGCAAUAGUUCUGAACUGGGAUUGAUGAUGUUUUUCUUGUUUUAAUUAUUUAACUGUUUUUCAUUCUCUUUUAAACUUCUAUUAGUUGAAUGCUUGUUGCUUAGUUAUCACAUGGCUCAAGUAAAUUCGGCAGUUGCCUCAUUAAACAUAGUAAGGUUAACAUCCCUAUAGUGUUCACAUUUCUCGCAUGUAAAUGUUGU
rnacentral:lncRNA from 1 species